GCCGAAUGGCCAAGAAGUCAAGGCCUUUGAAGGCCAAGUUUGAGGCUGAAUGGUCGGGAUGGUUGAUGGCAAUGGAUGAUUGGGAGUUGGAGGCCGAGUGGUUGAGAUGUCGAGGCCUUUGGAGGUCGAGUUGAGUGCCGAAUGGCUAGGAUGCUUAGGGCCUUUGGAGGCCGAGAGUUGGACGGUGUCCCUUUCCUCAAAGGGGCGGUUCUUAACGUAUUAGGGGCGGCAGGGCAUAGUCGUUCACCGUCUGGCCAAGUUGACAGGAGUGAUACUCCAGCUUGGGUUUCUUCAAGGUGUUGGGGGCGGUAGGGCAUAGUCGUUCACCGCCCGGCCAAGUUGACAAGAUUGAUACUCUGUUCAUCAACUUGGGUUUCUUCAAGGUGUUGGGGGGGACAGGGCAUAGUCGUUCGCCACCCGGCCAAGUUGAUGGGAGUGAUACUUCGUUCAUCAACUUGGGUUUCUUCAAGGUGUUGGGGGCGGCAGAGCGUUGUCAUUCACUGCCCGACCAAGUUGACAGAAGUGGUACUCUGUUCAUUAACUUGGGUUUCUUCAAGGUGUUGGGGGCGGCAGGGCAUUGUCGUUCACCGUCCGGUCAAGUUGACAGGAGUGGUAUUUCGUUCAUCAACUUGGGUUUUUGUUACGUACCGCCUGGUCG
rnacentral:lncRNA from 1 species